CUUCUUACCUGCCAGGGGCAACACCGUGAUCAAGAAGGUGGUUUGCCCAAAGUGAGGCCCAGCAGUUGCACUCAGGCUGUGCUGACCUUUGUGAAUUCCUUAAAUGCAGGAAUCUCAACUGCAUAGCUAAUUUCUGAUAGUGGGAGACUGUAUUCAUGCUCUCCCCUU